rnacentral:rRNA from 13 species
GUGGAUGCCUUGGUGCUGAGAGGCGAUGAAGGACGUGACACGCUGCGAAAAGCCUUGGGGAGCUGCGAGUAAGCUUUGAUCCUGGGAUAUCCGAAUGGGGAAACCCGGCCGUAAGGUCAUCCGUACAUGAAUUCAUAGUGUGCGGAAGCAAACCUGGUGAACUGAAAUAUCUAAGUAGCCAGAGGAAAGGACAUCAACCGAGACUCCGUUAGUAGUGACGAGCGAACGCGGACCAGGCCAGUGGCCUAAGUGAGGAAACCGGAACCGUCUGGAAAGUCGGGCCGUAGCGGGUGAUAGCCCCGUACGGGUAAAGCUUCAUUUAGGUCCUUGAGUAGGGCGGGGCACGUGAAACCCUGUCUGAACGUGGGGGGACCACCCUCCAAGCCUAAGUACUCCUCAGCAACC